rnacentral:rRNA from 1 species
GGGUCAGUAGGUUGGUCGUGCCACCGGUACGUACUGGUCUCACUGAUUCCUCCUUCCUGAAGAACCGUAAUGCCAACAAUUUGGUGUUGCGGAGAAACAGGACUGUUACUUUGAAAAAAUUAGAGUGUUUAAAGCAAGCUAACGCUUGAAUACAUUAGCAUGGAAUAAUGAAAUAGGACGAUCGAUCCUAUUUUGUUGGUUUCUAGGAUUGACGUA